UACGGAGGAUCCAAGCGUUAUCCGGAUUUAUUGGGUUUAAAGGGUGCGUAGGCGGAAUUGUAAGUCAGUGGUGAAAGCCCUUCGCUUAACGAAGGAACUGCCAUUGAUACUGCAAAUCUUGAGUACAUUUGAUGAGGGCGGAAUGUGUCAUGUAGCGGUGAAAUGCUUAGAUAUGACAUAGAACACCAAUUGCGAAGGCAGCUUACUUCACGAUCAUUGACACUGAGGCACGAAAGCGUGGGGAGCAAACAGG
rnacentral:rRNA from 1 species